CAUCUGGUACAGAAGCUAGUAUUGUUGACCCAUGACGCCAGCUUCGAUGAGCUUGUCUGGUUCGUGAAAGUAGAUUUCCAUUUCAGAAGAGCGUUUGCUUCUGAGAAAGUCGCAGAAGCUGAGAUAAAACAGAUUAGAAGUAUGGAUAUGAUCAAAAGAAAACAAAGAUGGUCGUGUCGUUGAUAAUGAAACUCCCAUCACCCGUCAAAAGGGUUCUCCGUUGAACAUUCGUUCGAGUAAUGAAAUUUGAAGUCAUUGUUUUGUGUAAGUGAGAAAGACUUGUGUGUCCGUCACGACUGGGAUUGAAAUGAUGCUUAUGUUCUUUUUUGUUCUUGUCUUAUGUUUUCACGGAAAUAACAAAUCAAGUGGCAAUACUCGGAAGUUUCUAUUUUUUCUAUUUGACUAGUUUUGUUUGAUUUUCUUUACUUUAUUGACUAUGAUCUGUUCUCUUUUAA